GCUCACGUCCCACCUUUAUCUCAGGCUACUACCUCAGAACCCAUAUGUAAACGGGAAGGGACCGUUCCUCUCUCACUCUCCCUCUCUCCCUCCCUCACUCCCUCCCUCUCUCUUUCCCUCCCUCCUCUCUGGAACUGUUUGGGCCUAGUGUGUGCCUUGCAGGGUGAGCUUCCUUCUGAAAGACAUAAAGCUCCCUUUCUUCAGCUCACAGGGGCUUCUGGAGCUGCCUGCUGCCGCCGCCACCCCCGCUGCUCCCGCCGCCGCCGCCGCCGCCGCCGCCGCCGCCAGCGGCUUGUUCUGACCACUGCCGGCCUGUUCUGACCAGCUCGGGCUCUGAGCUGCACGCCUGGGCCAGCCUCAGGCACCACUGGCUGCUACAGCUCCGCUAUCCUGCAGCCUGUGCUCCGAAGUACCGGGGUGGUGACUUCCACAACAGGGUGCCAGCCCUGGUUCUUAAAGCCACAGAGCUGCUGGUGGCUGGAAGAACCCUCUAAGGCUAGCUCCCUUUGCGAGAGUUUCUUGCCUUCCCUGGGCGGCAAAGGAAGCACGACAGUCCCAGAAAUUCUAAUGCCACAGACCUAGGAAGUCACAUAAGCACUGACAAGUUUCACAACUACCUUGGUGAUUCCAGAGUGAAGCCAGACUCUGGGAUCACCGUCUGUGCUGUCCAAAUGUCAGGCUGCACCGGGCCAUUUGGGGUACAGGCGAAAAUGCAGGUACUGAUCUGGGGGUCAGGCUCCUGUGGACCAAUGGCUGCUGGCCCUGAGUCUGUGCUGGGUUAGGCAGGGGUGGGUGUGAAGCCUGGGUAGGUAGCUCUCCAUGUCCCCUGUGCUCAUCUGAGGCUUAACUGAGAUAAUAGAACACUACACUAGCACUCAGAAUAUGCUUGAAAGACACUGGCAGGCCUGUGAAUUUUCCCCCUUGGUCUGGAUGCCUCCAGUGAGGAAGAGCAGGUUCUGCUUUCUCUUGCCUCAAAACUUUCAGGACUUCCCUUCAGACCCAGCCUUAAUCCCAGCCACACAAGGUUCUAAAGCAGAUGGUGCCAGCCUGCCCGUGUGGCUUCACCUUCUCUGUCUCUCCUGAGCCUCAUACCCCACCCCAGCACAAAUCACACACGUAAGCAUAUUGCAAGUCCUUUUGGUGCCAGGCUUGGCAAGUCUCUUCCUGGUCACUUUUCCAACUCUUUUGCUGCGUCUGGUUAGCUCCUUCCCCUCCAGGAGGAAUUGGCACAGGUGUGCCUCACCCUUUGUUAUAAGACAGUGAGAAGACACCAGCUGUA